UGUUCCCUUGAGGAGUGGCUUCCGGAGCUAACGCGUUAAGUCGACCGCCUGGGGAGUACGGCCGCAAGGUUAAAACUCAAAUGAAUUGACGGGGGCCCGCACAAGCGGUGGAGCAUGUGGUUUAAUUCGAUGCAACGCGAAGAACCUUACCUACUCUUGACAUCCAGAGAAUUUAGCAGAGAUGCUUUGGUGCCUUCGGGAACUGUGAGACAGGUGCUGCAUGGCUGUCGUCAGCUCGUGUUGUGAAAUGUUGGGUUAAGUCCCGCAACGAGCGCAACCCUUAUCCUUUGUUGCCAGCGAUUCGGUCGGGAACUCAAAGGAGACUGCCGGUGAUAAACCGGAGGAAGGUGGGGAUGACGUCAAGUCAUCAUGGCCCUUACGAGUAGGGCUACACACGUGCUACAAUGGCGCAUACAAAGAGAAGCGACCUCGCGAGAGCAAGCGGACCUCAUAAAGUGCGUCGUAGUCCGGAUCGGAGUCUGCAACUCGACUCCGUGAAGUCGGAAUCGCUAGUAAUCGUGGAUCAGAAUGCCACGGUGAAUACGUUCCCGGGCCUUGUACACACCGCCCGUCACACCAUGGGAGUGGG
rnacentral:rRNA from 4 species